UGGGGAAUAUUGCACAAUGGAGGGAACUCUGAUGCAGCGACGCCGCGUGAGUGAUGAAGGAAUUCGUUUCGUAAAACUCUGUUCUAUGGGAAGAAAAGGACUGUACCAUGGGAGAAAGCUCCGGCUAAAUACGUGCCAGCAGCCGCGGUAAUACGUAUGGAGCGAGCGUUGUCCGGAAUUAUUGGGCGUAAAGGGUGCGCAGGCGGCUUUACAAGUUGGAUGUGAAAUAUUGUGGCUCAACCACAAACGUGCAUCCAAAACUGCAAAGCUUGAGUUAAGGAGAGGUAAGUGGAAUUCCUGGUGUAGCGGUGGAAUGCGUAGAUAUCAGGAGGAAUACCGGUGGCGAAGGCGACUUACUGGACUUAAACUGACGCUCAGGCACGAAAGCGUGGGGAGCAAACAGG
rnacentral:rRNA from 1 species